rnacentral:rRNA from 1 species
AUUGAACGCUGGCGGCAGGCCUAACACAUGCAAGUCGAGCGAGCGGCGGACGGGUGAGUAAUGUCUGGGAAUCUGCCUGAUGGAGGGGGAUAACUACUGGAAACGGUAGCUAAUACCGCAUACUCUCGGAUGUGCCCAUAUGGGAUUAGCUAGUAGGUGGGGGAAAGGCUCACCUAGGCGACGAUCCCUAGCUGGUCUGAGAGGAUGAACAGCCACACUGGAACUGAGACACGGUCCAGACUCCUACGGGAGGCAGCAGUGGGGAAUAUUGCACAAUGGGCGCAAGCCUGAUGCAGCCAUGCCGCGUGUAUGAAGAAGGCCUUCGGGUUGUAAAGUACUUUCAGCGGGGAGGCGUUACCCGCAGAAGAAGCACCGGCUAACUCCGUGCCAGCAGCCGCGGUAAUAC